UUGAAUUCCACCUUUGGUAGUCAUAUGAGCAACAAUCUCAGAUAUAUCUAUGUGAAGCAGAUCAGCAAUCUCUUGGGAAGAAGGAACCCUCUCCAAACCACUGAACGACAAUUGAUCCAAGAUAGGUAUACCCACAAGAUAGGCAUACUCCUCAAGGGUAGGCAAAAGUUGGAAAUCCGAAAAAGUGAAGCAAUGGUACAGAGGAUCAUA
rnacentral:lncRNA from 1 species